GAUGAACGCUAGCGGGAGGCCUAAUACAUGCAAGUCGAGCGGUAGAGUGACUUCGGUUGCUUGAGAGCGGCGAACGGGUGAGUAACGCGUACACAAUCUACCUUUAAGAGGGGAAUAGCCCUGGGAAACUGGGAUUAAUGCCCCAUGGCAUCACGAGACGGCAUCGUUUUGUGAUUAAAGCUGAGGUGCUUAGAGAUGAGUGUGCGUCUGAUUAGCUAGUUGGUGCGGUAACGGCGCACCAAGGCGACGAUCAGUAGGGGGCGUGAGAGCGUGGACCCCCACACGGGUACUGAGACACGGACCCGACUCCUACGGGAGGCAGCAGUAAGGAAUAUUGGUCAAUGGAGGAAACUCUGAACCAGCCAUCCCGCGUGCAGGAAGAAUGCCCUAUGGGUUGUAAACUGCUUUUAUCUGGGAAGAAAAGUCGGGAUUUAUCCUGAUCUGACGGUACCAGAGGAAUAAGCACCGGCUAACUCCGUGCCAGCAGCCGCGGUAAAGUCG
rnacentral:rRNA from 1 species